rnacentral:sRNA from 1 species
GAUACCAGGGUCCCAAGGUCUUUACACACUUGAGCUUGCUCAUAUGUGGGUAAAAGACCUUGGGACCCGCCAAAAUAUGAGCAUAAAAGUGGGACAGCAGUCCCGCCAUAUGCGAAUAUUUUGUAGGAUUGUGAGAGUACGAAGUACAAACAAUCCGUAGG